GUCAAAUUGGCAGGAGCCUUAUGGAUAAUUGGGGGGAAACUAGGCAGCUCAUUAAUAUUCUAUUUUGUGGCUAUCGACGAUUGGAGAUCCACUAUCCAUGAUCCGUGACAAAUGCAUGCCGAAACCUAUACUCGCCUGGGCACAGUGCCCCAGCGAGUAAUAACAAAAUAUAAGGUAAGUUAAAAACAGCAAAGCUUUACCUACCUCGAUCUAUUUUGCUAAGACGCUCAAUUAUGUACAUUUUCGGCGAAUAAUCAAUAUUUUCUUUGCGUUUCCUCGACGAAAACCCACAUGAAAAUGCUCGUCAGAAAAACUGGGUAUUUGUCG